GAGGAAAGAGGGAGGCGUGCUUAACACAUGCAAGUCGAACGGAACGGCCCUGCUUUUGUGGGGUGCUCGAGUGGCGAACGGGUGAGUAACACGUGAGUAACCUGCCCUUGACUUUGGGAUAACUUCAGGAAACUGGGGCUAAUACCGGAUAGGAGCUCCUGCUGCAUGGUGGGGGUUGGAAAGUUUCGGCGGUUGGGGAUGGACUCGCGGCUUAUCAGCUUGUUGGUGGGGUAGUGGCUUACCAAGGCUUUGACGGGUAGCCGGCCUGAGAGGGUGACCGGCCACAUUGGGACUGAGAUACGGCCCAGAAUCCUACGGGAGGCAGCAGUGGGGAAUAUUGCACAAUGGGCGGAAGCCUGAUGCAGAAACGCCGCGUGCGGGAUGACGGCCUUCGGGUUGUAAACCGCUUUCGCCUGUGACGAAGCGUGAGUGACGGUAAUGGGUAAAGAAGCACCGGCUAACUACGUG
rnacentral:rRNA from 1 species